rnacentral:rRNA from 1 species
AAAGCGCACGCAGGCGGAGCGGUAAGUUUGGGGUGACAGCGGUCGGCUCAACCGGUCGAGUGUCCCAAAGACUGCCGCCCUUGAGGGCCAAAGAGGAACACAGAAUUCCGGGUGUAGUGGUGAAAUGCGUAGAUAUCCGGAGGAAUACCAAAGGCGAAGGCAGUGUUCUGGGUGGCUCCUGACGCUCAGGUGCGAAAGCUAGGGGAGCGAACGGGAUUAGAUACCCCUGU